rnacentral:rRNA from 1 species
AUGUCGGUGACGCAAAAUUUCCAUCUGGAUUUGUUUGUUUGUGUUUGCAACCUGUCAUUUUUUUGUCAUUUUUCUGUCGACGUACUUGCCGAACUCCCCGUGCUCAGCUGCCUGAAGCUGCCGUGCGGACCUGCUGUGAGGGAUGGCAAUCCAAGGUCACUUCACGACAUUGCGGUCUGUGGUGACACCAUCAAGUAUGUUGAGAUGCUGCCUCACCCCGACAGAAGCUCCUCUAAGACCCUCUCAUGUCGUUGGGUGGUUGCAGCAUGGAGCAUCAAGAAGGCCCGUCGGUCCUGGUGCAAGGAUUGGCGCAUGGUUUGCAAGCUCGAUUCCACCCAUAUGAAGGUUGAUGCAACUAGUACCAUGGCUUCCUUCCCAACCUUGUCAUCCCUCCAUGUUGGCCUUCCCACACUCAGCCUGCAGAAUGAUGCCAUUGUUUACUUCCUCGCCAAGAUUGACUUCUGCACGAUGGAACACACGGCUUGGGUGCUUGCUGUUGACAUGAAGAACGUGACUGCUGAGCAAGUGGUGGAGUUCCCUGCUGAGAGGACUUUCUGUUUAGCCCAGGGCUAUGACGCAAGUAGGAUCUCCGCAUACCUCCAACCUUCUCCAGGUACACGGCAAAUACCUAAACGACCACGGGUGUCAUUGCUGAAAUACCCUACCAGGAAGCAUAUUAAAGAUGUUGAAGAUCCUAAAGAAGACGAUGCCAUGGUGAUUUUUUCUUCAUGA